rnacentral:rRNA from 1 species
GGAAUAUUGCGCAAUGGGGGAAACCCUGACGCAGCGACGCCGCGUGAGUGAGGAAGGCCUUCGGGUCGUAAAGCUCUGUCAGAUGGGAAGAAGUGCUAUGUAGUUAAUACCUGCGUAGUUUGACGGUACCAUCAGAGGAAGCACCGGCUAACUCCGUGCCAGCAGCCGCGGUAAUACGGAGGGUGCAAGCGUUGUUCGGAAUCACUGGGCGUAAAGGGCGCGCAGGCGGUUUGUUUAGUCAGAUGUGAAAGCCCACGGCUUAACCGUGGAAGUGCAUUUGAAACUGACAAACUUGAGUAUCAGAGGGGAAGGUGGAAUUCCCGGUGUAGAGGUGAAAUUCGUAGAUAUCGGGAGGAAUACCGGUGGCGAAGGCGACUUUCUGGCUGAAUACUGACGCUGAGGCGCGAAAGCGUGGGGAGCAAACAGGAUUA